CCAAUUCUGACGCGGAAAUCGAAUGAAUCCCCAGGAGAUAGACAAACGUUGGCGCGAUGAGUGAUCGAAUGAUAAAUCUUGUCAUUGCAAGAUAAAAGACGUAUAUAGAAAACAAAAAUAUCAAGUACGUUUGGAAAACCCAAACACUCGGAGAUUCCUUUAUUUGUGAGAUAAUGGUAAAUCUGUUAUCGAAGGGAGUUAUAAAAGGUCACCAAAUUCUCAGUUUACUAAUAGACGUGUAUCGGCUACCGUAGACUCCAGCUGCACUUGUUAUUAUAUUAUACGAUCACUUUAGAAGACAACCACCACAACUUAUAAGAUGGCGGGCUCUGGUGAUAAGGAUAGGAAACCUCUCCGCCCUCCGCCAUACGAAAAACCCUAUAUACCUUUUGACUAUCCGAAACUUACAACUAAAUGACAACAAAAAGAUAAAGAGAGAAUCUUAGAUUUAGAUUGAAACGAAAAUUAAAAAUAUUGAAUCAAAAUACUCACUAUUAAUUCGUUAAAAUGUUAUGAGGCUUAAUUACCAAUAUUGCUAAGAUAAUUUAAGUUUUCUAGUUUAAUAAAUUAUAUUUUAAGAUUA